rnacentral:rRNA from 1 species
GUCGCGCGAUUAAGGCCCGCAAGGGCGCAUAAAGCGGCGAACGGGUGCGUAACACGUGGAUAAUCUGCCUUUCGGUGGGGGAUAACGGCUGGAAACGGCCGCUAAUACCGCAUGUGGUUGCGAGGUCUUCGGGCCUUGCAAAGAAAGAGGCCUUUAAAGCCUUGCCGAGAGAUGAGUCCGCGCCCCAUUAGCUAGUUGGCGGGAUAACAGCCCACCAAGGCUUCGAUGGGUAGCCGAGCUGAGAGGUUGAUCGGCCACACUGGGACUGAGACACGGCCCAGACACCUACGGGUGGCAGCAGUAGGGAAUAUUGGACAAUGGGGGAAACCCUGAUCCAGCGAUGCCGCGUGGAUGAUGAAGGCCUUCGGGUCGUAAAGUCCUUUUCUGAGGGAAGAACUGUCUGGCGAGGAAAUGCGCUGGAUUUGACGGUACCUCAGGAAUAAGCAACGGCUAACUCCGUGCCAGCAGCCGCGGUAAUACGGAGGUUGCAAGCGUUGUUCGGAAUAACUGGGCGUAAAGGGAGCGCAGGCGGCUUGGUAAGUCUAAAGUGAAAUUCCAGGGCUCAACCCUGGACGUGCUUUGGAUACUGCCUGGCUUGAGUACGUGAGAGGAGAUUGGAAUUCCAGGUGUAGCGGUGAAAUGCGUAGAUAUCUGGAGGAACACCGGUGGCGAAAGCGGAUCUCUGGCACGUUACUGACGCUGAGGCUCGAAAGCAUGGGGAGCAAACGGGAUUAGAUACCCCGGUAGUCCAUGCCGUAAACGUUGUGCGCUAGGUGUAGGAGGUAUCGACCCCUUCUGUGCCGCAGCUAACGCAUUAAGCGCACCGCCUGGGGAGUACGGUCGCAAGACUGAAACUCAAAGGAAUUGACGGGGGCCCGCACAAGCGGUGGAGCAUGUGGUUUAAUUCGAGGCAACGCGAAGAACCUUACCCAGACUUGACAUCCCAGGACCGCCUAUGAAAGUAGGUUUUCCCUUCGGGGACCUGGAGACAGGUGUUGCAUGGCUGUCGUCAGCUCGUGUCGUGAGAUGUUGGGUUAAGUCCCGCAACGAGCGCAACCCUUGUCCUUAGUUACCAGCGGGUUAUGCCGGGCACUCUGAGGAGACUGCCGAUGAUAAGUCGGAGGAAGGUGGGGACGACGUCAAGUCAUCACGGCCCUUACGUCUGGGGCUACACACGUGCUACAAUGGUCGGUACAGAGGGACGCAAGAUCGCGAGAUGGAGCCAAUCCCAAAAAGCCGGCCUCAGUUCGGAUUGCAGUCUGCAACUCGACUGCAUGAAGUCGGAAUCUCUAGUAAUCGUGGGUCAGCUACACCACGGUGAAUACGUUCCCGGGCCUUGUACACACCGCCCGUCACAUGACCCGAGUUGGGUGCACCC